rnacentral:rRNA from 1 species
UAAUACGGAGGGUGCGAGCGUUAAUCGGAAUUACUGGGCGUAAAGCGUGCGUAGGUGGCUUGGUAAGUCGGAUGUGAAAGCCCUGGGCUCAACCUGGGAACUGCAUUCGAUACUGCCAGGCUAGAGUAUGGUAGAGGGAAGUGGAAUUUCCGGUGUAGCGGUGAAAUGCGUAGAUAUCGGAAGGAACACCAGUGGCGAAGGCGGCUUCCUGGACCAAUACUGACACUGAGGUACGAAAGCGUGGGGAGCAAACAGGAUUAGAUACCCUGGUAGUCCACGCCCUAAACGAUGUCAACUAGCCGUUGGAGGAAUUUAAUCCUUUAGUGGCGCAGCUAACGCGUUAAGUUGACCGCCUGGGGAGUACGGUCGCAAGAUUA